rnacentral:rRNA from 1 species
UACGUAGGGACCAAGCGUUGUUCGGAUUUACUGGGCGUAAAGGGCGCGUAGGCGGCAUGACAAGUCACUUGUGAAAUCUCCGGGCUUAACUCGGAACGGUCAAGUGAUACUGUCGCGCUAGAGUGCGGAAGGGGCAAUCAGAAUUCUUGGUGUAGCGGUGAAAUGCGCAGAUAUCAAGAGGAAUACCUGAGGUGAAGACGGGUUGCUAGGCCGACACUGACGCUGAAGCGCGAAAGCCAGGGGAGCAAACGGG